ensembl:snRNA U6 U6 spliceosomal RNA
AGUUGUGGUGCUCUCUUUGCAGCAAAAUUGGAACGAUCCAGAGAAGAUUAGCAUGACCAUGACCCCUGUGCAAGGAUGACACACAAAUUGUGAAGCAUUCCAUAUUUUA